AGCAAAAGUAACCUAAUUAUUUAGACAUUUCCUGUGCGACAGUGACGCAACGCAAUGAGUGGCGUCCAGAUCUGGACGGUCCCUAACCCAGAGCCGAGAGGAGGGACAGCAAGCUGAGGGAUCGAUGGGGUCGGUGACUGAGCUGACGGCAGACUAACGGGAUUAGGGCUCCAGUGACUGGCUGAUGGACAGAGAGAAGAGACAAUCCCAAGAGGAAGACGCUGUCGUCCUGUUACAGGAGCGUUAAUGGCAGCUACAUACGGAGCGCAGAGGCGUCUGAACCCUCAGCAUAAAGUACCUAUGAUUAAGACCCCAGACCAAGGCCAUUCGCCUUCCCUCCAAAGCUCUGAUGCCAUGGAAUGAGUUCCGUCUCUCCCUCAGAACUGCUGAAUCCCUUCUGACAUUUAAGAAAGCAGGCAUUUGAGGAUAUCUCAGAAGUGAAGAACUUCCCCAAAGAGCUCCAGAUCCCCAUGUGUGUUUCCACGGCACGUAACACCGCUUGUGUGCCAGUGCCUCACCGUCCCCUUAGAAUGAG
rnacentral:lncRNA from 1 species